UACAGAGGGUGCGAGUGUUGUUCGGAAUUAUUGGGCGUAAAGGGCGCGUAGGCGGUGCGGUAAGUCACCUGUGAAAUCUCCUGGCUCAACUGGGAGCUUGCAGGCGAAACUGCCGUGCUGGAGUGUGGGAGAGGUGCGUGGAAUUCCUGGUGUAGCGGUGAAAUGCGUAGAUAUCAGGAGGAACACCUGUGGCGAAAGCGGCGCACUGGACCACAACUGACGCUGAGGCGCGAAAGCUAGGGGAGCAAACAGG
rnacentral:rRNA from 1 species